CUUGUUUUACAGAUUGGUUGAUUGAACAUUCUAUCAAGUUAAUUCGAUUUGGAAUGCAAGCCCUGGAAUAUUGUAUUAACUGGAAGAUCUUAACUCCAUACUAGAGAGCUGCUGGAAUGUUACAAACAAAAAAGUUCAGCUGGAUAUAUGUGCUUAACAAUCAUUUUACUUUGAAUUAUUCAAUCCAAGGACAAUAUCUUUAUUGUAGACCAUGAAGCUAAGAGAAGAGAUGAAGCUUCAUGAGAAGUUCCUGAAUGAUGUUUGUCUAACACAAAUAAGGCAAUCAGUAAUGAAAAAUAGCCAGGCAAAGGAGCAUAACUAUUUCCCAUUGUGUAUGCUUGUCCAUAGAAAAUGUUGGUUAAAUUGCAGUGCUUAAGUAUAGAAAACCUGUAUAUUUCACGAACUAAAAGAUCUUCUACUGCCCCAA
rnacentral:lncRNA from 1 species